rnacentral:rRNA from 1 species
UACGAAGGGGGCGAGCGUUGUUCGGAAUUACUGGGCGUAAAGGGCGCGCAGGCGGCUCUGAAAGUCAGAUGUGAAAGCCCCGGGCUUAACCUGGGAACUGCCUUUGAUACUGAGGAUCUUGAGUUCGGGAGAGGUGAGUGGAACUGCGAGUGUAGAGGUGAAAUUCGUAGAUAUUCGCAAGAACACCAGUGGCGAAGGCGGCUCACUGGCCCGAUACUGACGCUGAGGCACGAAAGCGUGGGGAGCAAACAGGG